rnacentral:rRNA from 1 species
AUUGAACGCUGGCGGCAUGCCUUACACAUGCAAGUCGAACGCGAAAGGGGGCAACCCUGAGUAGAGUGGCGAACGGGUGAGUAAUACAUCGGAACAUUUCCUGUAGUGGGGGAUAACUUCGAGAAAUCGAAGCUAAUACCGCGUACGUCCUACGGGAGAAAGCAGGGGAUCGCAAGACCUUGCGCUAUAGGAGUGGCCGAUGUCGGAUUAGCUAGUUGGCGGGGUAAAANCCCACCAAGGCGACGAUCCGUAGCUGGUCUGAGAGGAUGAUCAGCCACACUGGGACUGAGACACGGCCCAGACUCCUACGGGAGGCAGCAGUGGGGAAUUUUGGACAAUGGGCGCAAGCCUGAUCCAGCCAUGCCGCGUGAGUGAAGAAAGGCCU